CCUACGGGAGACAGCAGUAGGGAAUCUUCCACAAUGGGCGAAAGCCUGAUGGAGCAACGCCGCGUGGGUGAAGAAGGUCUUCGGAUCGUAAAACCCUGUUGUUAGAGAAGAAAGUGCGUGAGAGUAACUGUUCACGUUUCGACGGUAUCUAACCAGAAAGCCACGGCUAACUACGUGCCAGCAGCCGCGGUAAUACGUAGGUGGCAAGCGUUAUCCGGAUUUAUUGGGCGUAAAGGUAACGCAGGCGGUCUUUUAAGUCUGAUGUGAAAGCCUUCGGCUUAACCGGAGUAGUGCAUUGGAAACUGGGAGACGUGAGUGCAGAAGAGGAGAGUGGAACUCCAUGUGUAGCGGGGAAAUGCGUAGAUAUAUGGAAGAACACCAGUGGCGAAAGCGGCUCUCUGGUCUGUAACUGACGCUGAGGUUCGAAAGCGUGGGUAGCAAACAGGAUUAGAUACCCUUGUAGUC
rnacentral:rRNA from 1 species